UUUGCAUAAACAGGUUCAUAUUUUUCUUGGAGAAAGCUAAGCAGCUUUUGUCUCCGCACUUUUAAAGAAGGACGUUUAACUGAUUUGGUAGAAACAACAUUCUGAGCAUGAUACUCCGCCAUUUGCAGCAUCCAUUGUUCUAGAGGUAGCAAAGAACCCUUCACCCUAACACUGGUCUUCCAGUUUUUUAUUUUAGAACCUGUGUGCCGCUCCCAUUCACUAAGUGCCUGUUUUUGUGCUCCACAAUAGCCGCACUUACAAACAACUAG
rnacentral:misc_RNA from 1 species